rnacentral:rRNA from 1 species
UACGGGGGGAGCAAGCGUUGUUCGGAUUUAUUGGGCGUAAAGGGCGCGUAGGCGGCCACGCACGUCCGUUGUGAAAUCGCCUGGCUCAACUGGGCGGGGUCGGCGGAUACGGCGUGGCUGGAGCAAGCUAGGGGGCAAUGGAAUUCCCGGUGUAGUGGUGGAAUGCGCAGAUAUCGGGAGGAACACCGGUGGCGAAGGCGGUUCUCUGGGCCUUACCUGACGCUGAGGAGCGAAAGCGUGGGGAGCGAACAGG